UAUACUGAUAUUGUGUAAUAUAAUGUUAGUGGUAUAUACUGUGGUAUUAGUACUAUAACAACAACUAUGUAAUGUCUUCUGAGAGCUCAUUCUCCAUUGAACUCCAAUGGCAGGGCUCUAUGUGCUGCAGAAAAUCGGCUCGACCCAGGAGGGCAACAACAGCUUCACUUUGUCAGGGGACUACUACAACAGAGAACUGUCAGGUUGGGAGCCCUUCAUCGAACCCUGUAUCAGUCUGCAGGGUGCCUCCAGCCAUUGCGCCUCAAGGUGGGCAUCCACGCCAAGCAGACUGGAUGUCAACAUCACCUCUGUCCUUUUGGGUAUGACCUGCACUGCCCACUAUUUGGACACAGUGGAUGCUUCUGACACGGCAGCCUAUUCCCUAUGUCGUCGUGCACUACUCUUGACCCGUGUCAAAAGUAGUGCACUAUGUCGUGAAUUGGCACACCUUGUUUAACUACAGUGGGUUAGCCCCGGAUAUAUGUAAGCCAUGUAUGUGUGAUCUGUAGUGGUGAACUUUUAAUGGAUUUGAGCACAAAUGAACCAUUAUAUUGUCCAGAUAUUCUAGUGGCCGCUCUAAUAAUGAAAAGAAAUGUCUUACAAAAUGGAAGGCAGUCGGGAUGAGGCAAGAUCAGGUGGGAUCAUUCUAGCCAAUGAGAGGGCAGAUAUGCGUGUGAACAGUUGGCACAACGGUUUCGUCUAGUUACCACAGCCACAAAGUCAAAAUUGGUUAUAUACAAAAAAAUCAUAAAAACUAAAAUGAGCUUUUUGGUUGUAAUUUAAGGUUAGUCAUAAGAUUAGCAGUGUGGUUGAAGUUAGAAUUAAAAUCACAUUUUAAGAAGAUAAAUUGUAGAAAUAGUUAGGGUUUAUGACUUUGUGGCUGUGGUAACUAGUGACGACCAGUCACAACUCCGAUAUAAAUMGUUUUCUCAAAGUUGCCGGUAUGUCACAUGGCCUACUUAUAUCACUGGUAACAACCUAAUCAUUACGUAACUUCUAUUCGAUCAAAUAAGCCACACGUAGCAAAUAAGCCACUGCAUUUUUUGUUAGCCAAAGUCGACACUCAUUGACCUCCAUGCAAAAACUCCUUGCGCACCAAAAAAACCAAAAAGCUCCACUUGCUGGAGAAGAUUUUGGCCCAGUCAUGGCUCUCACUUUGCUUCUUCCGCUCUGAUUUUGAGCUUCCUCCUCACCUUGCUACUGCCCUCUUCUGGCUACACAGAGCAGUACAGCCUCACCAAGAGCAUCUUGGCUGGCUGACUACUGCAAGAAAGAGGAGCAGACUCCCCAACCCUUGGCAGCCCUAUCCUGGAUGGGCUCCUCGGUGGACCCCCCCCCCCCAGUGGGUACUGUUUCCCCCAAGUUUACACACACACGUAUCACUUGUUAUGAGCUGAAAAUAGCCUUAGUAGAAAAAAGUAGAGCCCUCAUACUCAAUUGCUCCAGCACAUUACUGUACUAGUUAGCGGGUAGUUACAAAAAUCAGAUUUAAUAUACGUUUGUUCUGGAGUAUAUGAUUGCGUGGUUCCCACUUGAUUCUAUGCUAACGUUUCGAUACUGCCAGCAUUUCUUUGUAUUUCUAUUUGUAUCUUAUCAUUUUGUGUUGAUUUUGGAGAUUUUUUUUUUGCAGUGCAACAAAGCUUUACACAGAUGCAUUGGAAACCUGCCUGAAUUAUCGCCGCCUUCGCAUGGUUAUUGCACAUUUGGAUUGUUUGAUGAAAAUGUUGAUUCAAGYGUUGGGAAUGACUUAAUUUACACAGCUCCUUUGCCUUGUCAAAAUGGUGUAUUAAGAGUUAAGAGCGGCUCAUGUUUUUGUUCAAUCAUUUUGAUAACUCUUUACUUUACGGUCCUAGGCCUAUAUAGGUCUAUCGUGUCUAAAUUAUGCUAUCAGCUAACAGCUACGACAUUUGUUCUGGCCUUAUUAUGGCAGUGUAGGCCUUAUGGCGGAGGGCUUCAAGUCAAAGUAAGAUUGCUGUUAAGAUGUUAUUUAGCUUAGAUCCAGGUCUUCUGUUUGGUAGUAUGACCACAUAAUAUAAAAUAAAACACACUUGUCAUGGCUGGUAUUAAAACAUGUUUUUUAGUACACCCUGACCUUUGCCCUCUCUUCUGACCCCUAGCACGUCUCUCCUCUCUGUGGUAACUGUCUCUCUCUGYUGUAAGGUGUCCCUCUUGCCUACCACUGUCAGUUUGACUUGCCUUGAGCAGCACAUUGACUCCAGAGGUACAAUCCAUAGAUCACAGAGAGUGCAGCGGUUGGCCUCCACCAUAGAAAUAGAAUUACUAGAAUGGUAAUCUCUAAGUAGAAUGGGUGGACUGGUGGCCAGGAAGUAGUCGUGUUAUAUUUCUAUGGCAUCCACACCAUGGGUUUUCCCAUCUCAAUGCUUUUCCUUUAUCAUGUGUAUCAUCGCUAUCCUUAAGUACAGCGUUAAUGCAACGUUAUUACAGAGAGUUUUGUGUAACACUAGUGUUUCACGAUCUUGUGACAAUAUUGGCAAAUUUGAUCCAUUGUUAAACUGAAGUCAGUAUAAUCAGCAUCCACAGAGACAGUAUUUUAUUGACCCCCCCUUAGUUAGAACAGAGCCAUUGUGUCUGGUGGUGCCGGAGUCGUGUUAGAAAGUUAGAUUAUCUGUUUAUUCUCAGACUUUCCUUUCUUUCUUUUUUUUUACUCUGUUUGUGUCAUGUUGUUUCACCUCCCCCAUUCAAUGUCAAUCUAUAUAAAUCCAAUCCAUUGUGA